CGAGCCAGAGAGGCGAAAACCAGAAACCUCCAACCUUCUCAGGUUCUUCCGUCGAUCUCUAGAUCAAACGUCAUUCUCUUCCAUUCUUUUGUGUUUUACCUCUUCCUUUUCUUUUAUUGAUAUCUGCUUGUCUUGUACAAAGCGAGAUAGAGAAAGUAGAAAUUAGGGUUUCAAUCUUUAUUAUAUGACAAAUCUGAAUCGAUGGCGAUUGAUGGAUUUCAGAGAAAUUAGGGUUUCAGUAGAUAGUCGAAUUCGGUGAAAAGGGUAUUGGUUCCUCAUUACUUCAAGAUGUAAGAUAGGGGUGUUGUGAUUGAUUGAUUCUGAUGCUCUGAAGAACAUAGGGUUCGAAUUCAGAUUUCUGCUGCUGAUUCAUGCGAGAAAGAGAUGAAGAACUGAAGAUUAAAUAGGGAUUUUGUUGGUGAUUGAGUUACAAAGAUGGGUUCAAUUGAUUUUAGGGGUUUCAACUGAUUUGAUUUCAACAAUUGAUGAUGAUUUAGGUUUGUAGAAGAUGGAUCUGUGGUGACUUAUGAGAAGAAGAAUUGGUAGUUUUAGGUUUGCAAUUUGGUCAUUGUCAUAUCAGGAUGGAGAAGACUAAUGAAGUCAUGGGCUAAGUUGAUUUGUAGGUGACUUGUGAGAUAAUUUGGUGUUGUCUUUACAGAGAAUGGUGUGAAUUUUGGAGACGGAUUUAUGGAGGAUGCGAAGAACAAAAACAUCGAAAUUAUGGGGAACAUUCUUUACAAGGCAUACCUCAAGGAUUUCUUUAAGUUCUGCCAGGACCAAUUGCAUUGAUUUCCUGGUAGAAUCUACAUGAAAGACAAGAGCAUAACUUCAGGUUGAACUGGGCUUCUUUAGUCUCGGGAGAUAACCGUCGGGAUGAUGGUGCUGACUUCAACUGGAUUCUCUCGCGGUUUCAGUUAUGUAACUUUUGCAGAGAUUGAGGAUGCGAAGGAAGAAAUGAGAGCACAUUCUAAGAAAGUAACAAGGAAUUUUGUGGCCAAAAUCUCAGACUGUAACAGAAGCAAUAUUUUGUAGUUAUUUUGAAACCUUGCGAGAUAACAGAUAUACAUGCCCAAGUUUGAGCUCAUAUAGAUGUUAAAGAGUGGUUCUGUUAUGUUACUGAUGGCUGAGUUAUGGUGGUUGUUUGGCUGUGAAUUGCUGGGAAUAGCAGAAUGAGUUGCAGCUGGGAUUGCAACUAGAUGAACAUUGCAGGGAAGUGAUUGAAGCUGCAGAAUGGAUGUGGUGAUAUUGUUGCAACUAGAUGAACAAUGAAGGAUGGUGCUCUUAAUGGAAUUGUGGAGUUGCUGCUGUGAGAUGGAUGGAGGAUAUGAAGGAUAAGAGGUGGUUCUGCUGAGAAGGGUCUAGAAGCAGGCAUUGCCCGGCCUACAGGGUUGUAGCUCAUUGGACACCGAACACUGGUAUGCAGUUAUGAGAUAAUGAACUCCCCUGAAAGGGCCUGCCACCUUGCAAAGAGUGCUUUUAAAGAAGCUAUAGUAAAGCUGGAUACUUGAGUGAAGAAUCUUAUAAAGACAGUAAUUGAUUAUGCAACUAUUGAGGGAUAAAGAUGAAAUUGCCAAGUGUUUUCUGAAUGAUGCUCUUUUUGAUUGGAAAGGCUGGAGAACAAAGCAGUUAUAAGGUCCCUUAGCAGCUUAAAGUUUUGUAAGUUCUAUGUAGACAGUUAGUAAGUUUCUAUCUUAUAAGUUCUAUGUAGACAGUAAGUUUCAAUGUAUUCCCUUAGAAAUUUGAUACUUAGGAAAAUUUCAGUUCUUUUUUUAUAUGAACCUGAUAUGAAUGGAUUGAAUGUGUGAAAUGAAUGUGAAAUGCAUUAAUUGAAGAAA